rnacentral:rRNA from 1 species
CUUCUCAGUUGCCAGCACAUAAUGGUGGGCGACUCUGUGGAGGACUGCCCGGGUUAACCGGGACGGAAGGUGGGGAGUGACGUCAAGUCAUCAUGGCCCUUACGCCUAGGGCUACACACGUACUACAAUGGUGGGUACAAAGGGCAGCGAAACCGCGAGGUCGAGCGAAUCUCAAAAAACCCAUCAUAGUCCGGAUUGCAGUCUGCAACUCGACUGCAUGAAGUUGGAAUCGCUAGUAAUCCCGGAUCAGCAUGCCGGGGUGAAUACGUUCCCGGGCCUU